ACGGGUGAGUAACGCGUGGGAAUCUACCCAUCUCUACGGAAUAACGCAUGGAAACGUGUGCUAAUACCGUAUACGUCCUUCGGGAGAAAGAUUUAUCGGAGAUGGAUGAGCCCGCGUUGGAUUAGCUAGUUGGUGGGGUAAAGGCCUACCAAGGCGACGAUCCAUAGCUGGUCUGAGAGGAUGAUCAGCCACACUGGGACUGAGACACGGCCCAGACUCCUACGGGAGGCAGCAGUGGGGAAUAUUGGACAAUGGGCGCAAGCCUGAUCCAGCCAUGCCGCGUGAGUGAUGAAGGCCCUAGGGUUGUAAAGCUCUUUCACCGGUGAAGAUAAUGACGGUAACCGGAGAAGAAGCCCCGGCUAACUUCGUGCCAGCAGCCGCGGUAAUACGAAGGGGGCUAACGUUGUUCGGAUUUACUGGGCGUAAAGCGCACGUAGGCGGACUAUUAAGUCAGGGGUGAAAUCCCGGGGCUCAACCCCGGAACUGCCUUUGAUACUGGUAGUCUUGAGUUCGAGAGAGGUGAGUGGAAUUCCGAGUGUAGAGGUGAAAUUCGUAGA
rnacentral:rRNA from 1 species